CCUACGGGAGGCAGCAGUCGAGAAUCAUUCACAAUGGGGGAAACCCUGAUGGUGCGACGCCGCGUGGGGGAAUGAAGGUCUUCGGAUUGUAAACCCCCGUCAUGUGGGAGCAAAUUAAAACGAUCGUACCACAAGAGGAAGAGACGGCUAACUCUGUGCCAGCAGCCGCGGUAAUAUAGAGGUCUCAAGCGUUGUUCGGAAUCACUGGGCGUAAGGCGUGCGUAGGCUGUUUCGUAAGUCGUGUGUGAAAGGCGCGGGCUCAACCCGCGGACGGCACAUGAGACUGCGAGACUAGAGUAAUGGAGGGGGAACCGGAAUUCUCGGUGUAGCAGUGAAAUGCGUAGAUAUCGAGAGGAACACUCGUGGCGAAGGCGGGUUCCUGGACAUUAACUGACGCUGAGGCACGAAGGCCAGGGGAGCGAAAGGGAUUAGAUACCCUGGUAGUC
rnacentral:rRNA from 1 species